CCGGACCUGACUGCUAUCGGAUUGGUACUAAGCCAUGCGAGUCAUUGUAGCAAUACAAGGCGGACGGCUCAGUAACACGUAGUCAACCUAACCUAUGGACGUGGAUAACCUCGGGAAACUGAGAAUAAACCGCGAUAGAUCAUUAUGCCUGGAAUGGCUUAUGGUUCAAACAAUUUAUUGCCGUAGGAUGGGACUGCGGCCUAUCAGCUUGUUGGUGAGGUAAUGGCCCACCAAGGCUAUAACAGGUACGGGCUCUGAGAGGAGAAGCCCGGAGAUGGGUACUGAGACACGGACCCAGGCCCUAUGGGGCGCAGCAGGCGAGAAACCUUAGCAAUGUGCGAAAGCACGACUAGGUUAAUCCGAGUGAUUCCUGUUGAAGGAAUCUUUUGUCAGUCGUAAAACCACAGACGAAUAAGGGGUGGGCAAGUCUGGUGUCAGCCGCCGCGGUAAUACCAGCACCUCGAGUGGUCAGGAGGUUUAUUGGGCCUAAAGCAUCCGUAGCCGGCUUUGCAAGUCUCCGGUUAAAUCCAGCUGCUCAACAGACGGGCUGCCGGAGAUACUACACAGCUAGGGAGCGGGAGAGGCAGACGGUAUUCUGNGGGUAGGGGUAAAAUCCAUUGAUCCAUANAAGAACCNNNAGUGGCGAAGGCGGUC
rnacentral:rRNA from 1 species